GGAAUAUUGGACAAUGGGCGAAAGCCUGACCCAGCAACGCCGCGUGAAGGAUGAAAUCCCCCGGGAUGUAAACUUCGCAAGAACGGGAAGAAUAAGUUGGUGUGAAUAUCACCAACGAUGACGGUACCGUUUGUAAGCUCCUGCUAACUCCGUCACAGCAGCCGCGGUAAUACGGGGGGAGCAAGCGUUGUUCGGAUUUACUGGGCGUAAAGGGCGCGUAGGCGGCACUGCAAGUCGACUGUGAAAUCUCCGGGCUUAACUCGGAAAGGUCAGCCGAUACUGCGGGGCUAGAGUGCAGAAGGGGCAACUGGAAUUCUCGGUGUAGCGGUGAAAUGCGUAGAUAUCGAGAGGAACACCUGCGGCGAAGGCGGGUUGCUGGGCUGACACUGACGCUGAGGCGCGAAAGCUAGGGGAGCGAA
rnacentral:rRNA from 1 species